rnacentral:rRNA from 1 species
UACGUAGGCAGCAAGCGUUGUUCGGAUUUAUUGGGCGUAAAGAGCGUGUAGGCGGUUUGGUAGGUCCGCUGUGAAAACUCGAGGCUCAACCUCGAGACGCCGGUGGAAACCAUCAGACUAGAGUCCGGAAGAGGAGAGUGGAAUUCCCGGUGUAGCGGUGAAAUGCGCAGAUAUCGGGAAGAACACCCGUGGCGAAGGCGGCUCUCUGGGACGGUACUGACGCUGAGACGCGAAAGCGUGGGGAGCGAACAGG